AUUAUUUCUAUUCGUCAAGUCACGACGUUUUUCGUUAGUUUACUUCCAUAAUGACUUUGACGACCUACUGAUUGUCUUAAUUACGUAGCGUGAUCAGCAAUCCUCACAAGUCACAACGUUCCAUAAAAUUUUUUAUUUAUACUAUAGUACAGGUCAUCGCAUUUCAGUUAAUGGAUAAUUUGAGAGCCACUUGUGAGUACGGGUUGGUAGUGUCCUUGAUAGUAGACAUUAUUGGCAUUAUUAAUUCGUGGUCAGACGAUUAGUUGCACUGCUGACCAAAGCAGCAAACGCAAUGCACAUAGUAGUAGAAAUUAAGUUCAAAUAUAAAAUAAGUAGAUGUCUCUUAUUUAACUCAAGGAUGCUUCAUUAAUUUUACUAAUUACUGCAUAGUCCGUUUUAGAAAAGAAAUUGAACAUUUUGCCACUACUAAAGAGUUUUGCCUAAAUGACAUUCCGCUAAUUGGAUUCAUUAAAAUGCCACGCCCAAGCGAUGCCAAAUAUUUCUUUUACCAUAUUCGCUAAUUCUCUCCAUUUCCACCAAAUUUCGCACCCGGGCUGACGAAAAUACCCCUACAAGCUGCUUCUUUUAGCUUGGCCACUCGUGGAGCAGAGGAAAGGGGAUCCAGAUCCAGGCGCUCCCAUCAUCGCCGCAGCCGCCACCACCACCACCGCUCCCGUCAUCGCCAUCACCGCCACCGCCACUGCCGCUAGCGUCGAGGCCACCAUGUCGAGUGGCAACCUAGCACCUGGCGCACAAAACCGUCACUACCAAAUGGUGCUAGCUUAGGCGCAGGAUGGUAUCGACAAAGCGCACCUGGCAUGAGCUACUGAUGGGGUGACAGUGGUAAAAGACUAUCAUACAUGUACUUCUAGCAGCAGAAGAAGAACUACCACACCAAAAGAAAAAAGUCAAACGACUUAUAAUAUGAAAUAGAGAGAGUAUUAAGGAAUGUUAAAAAUGCACAAUAGCUAUGCAUCCUUCUUCCUCAGGCUAAUUGCGACUAUUUUUUCUUUCUUGUUUA